rnacentral:rRNA from 1 species
GAUGAACGCUGGCGGCGUGCCUAAUACAUGCAAGUCGAGCGAACAGAUGAGGAGCUUGCUCCUCUGACGUUAGCGGCGGACGGGUGAGUAACACGUGGAUAACCUACCUAUAAGACUGGGAUAACUUCGGGAAACCGGAGCUAAUACCGGAUAAUAUAUUGAACCGCAUGGUUCAAUAGUGAAAGACGGUUUUGCUGUCACUUAUAGAUGGAUCCGCGCCGCAUUAGCUAGUUGGUAAGGUAACGGCUUACCAAGGCAACGAUGCGUAGCCGAGCUGAGAGGGUGAUCGGCCACACUGGAACUGAGACACGGUCCGGACUCCUACGGGAGGCCGCAGUCGGGAAUCUUCCACAAUGGGCGAAAGCCUGACGGAGCACCGCCGCGUGAGUGAUGAAGGUCUUCGGAUCGUAAAACUCUGUUAUUAGGGAAGAACAAAUGUGUAAGUAACUAUGCACGUCUUGACGGUACCUAAUCAGAAAGCCACGGCUAACUACGUG